GACGAACGCUGGCGGCGUGCUUAACACAUGCAAGUCGAACGGUGAAGCCCAGCUUGCUGGGUGGAUCAGUGGCGAACGGGUGAGUAACACGUGAGCAACCUGCCCUCCACUUCGGGAUAAGCCUUGGAAACGGGGUCUAAUACCGGAUAUGAGCGCUCAUCGCAUGGUGGGUGUUGGAAAGUUUUUCGGUGGGGGAUGGGCUCGCGGCCUAUCAGCUUGUUGGUGGGGUGAUGGCCUACCAAGGCUUCGACGGGUAGCCGGCCUGAGAGGGCGACCGGCCACACUGGGACUGAGACACGGCCCAG
rnacentral:rRNA from 1 species